rnacentral:rRNA from 1 species
GACGAACGCUGGCGGCGUGCCUAAUACAUGCAAGUAGAACGCUGAAGGAGGAGCUUGCUUCUCUGGAUGAGUUGCGAACGGGUGAGUAACGCGUAGGUAACCUGCCUGGUAGCGGGGGAUAACUAUUGGAAACGAUAGCUAAUACCGCAUAAGAGUAGAUGUUGCAUGACAUUUGCUUAAAAGGUGCAAUUGCAUCACUACCAGAUGGACCUGCGUUGUAUUAGCUAGUUGGUGGGGUAACGGCUCACCAAGGCGACGAUACAUAGCCGACCUGAGAGGGUGAUCGGCCACACUGGGACUGAGACACGGCCCAGACUCCUACGGGAGGCAGCAGUAGGGAAUCUUCGGCAAUGGACGGAAGGCUGACCGAGCAACGCCGCGUGAGUGAAGAAGGUUUUCGGAUCGUAAAGCUCUGUUGUAAGAGAAGAACGAGGGUGAGAGUGGAAAGUUCACACUGUGACGGUAUCUUACCAGAAAGGGACGGCUAACUACGUG